rnacentral:rRNA from 1 species
AGUAAAAGUCGUAACAAGGUUUCCGUAGGUGAACCUGCGGAAGGAUCAUUGUUGAAUAGUUCGUGGUGCUGUGCUGGCCUUUCGGGGCAUGUGCACGCAUUGCAAUUAUUUCAUUAUCUUUUUGUGAACCAGUGUAGGCUUGGUUGGAUCUAGUUGUGCUUCGGCGCAUUUGGUGAAGCCCAAGUCUAUGAUUUAUAUAAACCUUUGAAUGUCUUUGAAUGUCUUCUUUAUUGGCCGCAAGGCUAGUAAAAACUAUACAACUUUCAGCAACGGAUCUCUUGGCUCUCCCAUCGAUGAAGAACGCAGCGAAAUGCGAUAAGUAAUGUGAAUUGCAGAAUUCAGUGAAUCAUCGAAUCUUUGAACGCACCUUGCGCCCUUUGGUAUUCCGAAGGGCAUGCUUGUUUGAGUGUCAUUAAAUUCUCAAAACCUUUGGAUUUGUUUUCAAAGGCUUUUGGAUGUGAGGGUUUGCUGGCUUCCUUUAGUGGCGGUCUGCUCCCUUUAAAUGCAUUAGUGGAUUCCUUUGUGGACGAGUCACUUGGUGUGAUAAUCUAUCUACGCCUUAUCUCUCUGAAGCAAAACCUAUGGGAGCCCGCUCAUAACCGUCUUGUAACGAGACAACUUUUGACCAUUUGACCUCAAAUCAAGUAGGACUACCCGCUGAACUUAAGCAUAUCAAUAAGCGGAGGA